rnacentral:rRNA from 1 species
UGAGUAAUGCAUCGGAACGUGCCCGGUCGUGGGGGAUAACGCAGCGAAAGCUGCGCUAAUACCGCAUACGAUCUGAGGAUGAAAGCGGGGGACCGUAAGGCCUCGCGCGAUCGGAGCGGCCGAUGUCAGAUUAGGUAGUUGGUGGGGUAAAGGCCUACCAAGCCGACGAUCUGUAGCUGGUCUGAGAGGACGACCAGCCACACUGGGACUGAGACACGGCCCAGACUCCUACGGGAGGCAGCAGUGGGGAAUUUUGGACAAUGGGCGCAAGCCUGAUCCAGCAAUGCCGCGUGCAGGAUGAAGGCCUUCGGGUUGUAAACUGCUUUUGUACGGAGCGAAAAGGCUUCCACUAAUACUGGGGGCUCAUGACGGUACCGUAAGAAUAAGCACCGGCUA